GUGAGUGUAGCUCAGUGGUAGAGCUCCGGAUUGUGGAUCCGGCUGUCGCGGGUUCGAUCCCCGUCACUCACCCCA
rnacentral:tRNA from 1 species